rnacentral:tRNA from 1 species
GGGAGCGGAUGGUCACUGGCGUGGCUCACGGGCUUCAAACCCGCUGGCGGGCACUAAUAAUGUCCGCGGUGAGUUCGAUCCUCACACGUUCCCG